GCAGAAAGAUGGGAGGUAGAAACCGAGUCCAGGGUUGCUGCAGUGUAUGCAUCUGGUGUCUGUUGAUUCUGCAAGAUUGUUGAGGUUGAGUGUGAGCCACUCAAAAGAUUUUGACAGUCUGCUUCACUCCCUUGAUGCCCAAACUUCCUGCAGACCUAAUUGAUUAUUGGACACAAGAAGGCACACCAUAUUCAUGUAUUCAAGCUCCUAUACAUACAUGCAUACAUAGAUAGGUUUAGAUAUUUUAUUUAAAUAAUUGUUUAGCUUUUUACAAACUAUGGGUGGAACUAGGAUGGUCCGGACUUCAUAAACACAUUAUCAAACCAACUGGGCAUGGCUUUGUUUUCCAGAACAGAAACAAGUGAUGAUACCUCAUGAUUGUUUUUAACCUCAUAGAAAUGAGGGUAAUAAAUAAAUAAAUAAUAAUAAUAAAAAAAAUUAAAGCUGCUUUAAUGCCAAUUUUUACAAAAUCACCAACUCUAUCUGCUAUGACCAGUAAAUGUUUAAUCAAAUGU